rnacentral:rRNA from 1 species
CUGCAUGGAAGAGAGAAUGCCGGAAUGAGUAGCGAGAUAGAGGUGGGAAUCCUCUAGGCCGAAUAUCCAAGGUUUCCAGGGUAAAGCUGAUCUGCCCUGGGUGAGUCGGGACCUAAGGUGAGGGCGAGAGCCGUAGCCGAUGGACAACAGGUUGAUAUUCCUGUACUGCAGUAUGACAGAACUGUGGGGACACGUAAGGAGAGCGGGAGCCGGGAAUGGAAAGCCCGGUACAAGCGAGGUACCAGUAUGGUAGGAAAAUCCGCCAUGCAAUGGGAAGACGUGAUGUGGAGUGAAUUUUAGUAACGAAGCCCGUGAGCCAUGCGUCAAGAAAAGCCGCUAUCGUUCAUAUUGUACCCGUACCGUAAACCGACACAGGUGGAUGAGGAGAGAAUCCUAAGGCCGGCGGAAGAAGUAUUGCCAAGGAACUCGGCAAAAUGGCCCCGUAACUUAGGGAGAAGGGGUGCCUGCGAGAGCAGGCCGCAGAGAAUAGGCUCAAGCAACUGUUUAGCAAAAACACAGGUCUAUGCGAAACCGAAAGGUGAGGUAUAUGGGCUGACGCCUGCCCGGUGCUGGAAGGUUAAGAGGAGAGGUUAG